rfam:Salmonella enterica subsp. enterica serovar Typhimurium str. LT2, complete genome.
AGUUAAAAGUAUUUUCGUAAAUAUUUUUCUCUUUCUGGAUAAUGGGCUAUUUCAACCCACAGCAGUGCAACAUCUGUCAGUACUUCUGGUGCCU